AAUAAGCGCAGCCAUGAGUUUCCGUAUUCAACUUUAAUCGUCUGUCUUAUUUGAAAUUCUUUUGAAAAAACUAAAAACCAGAAGUCACACGUGAAGUACUAUGCAUAUUUUAUUAUAAUCUAAUAACAAGAAAAAUACUAAUCAUAAAAAAAAUUAAAUAAGACGGACGAUCAAAGUUAGACACAAAAAAUCAUGGCUGCGCUUAUU
rnacentral:pre_miRNA from 1 species